CAACAUGAGAGUUUGAUCCUGGCUCAGAACGAACGCUGGCGGCAGGCUUAACACAUGCAAGUCGAGCGCCCCGCAAGGGGAGCGGCAGACGGGUGAGUAACGCGUGGGAAUCUACCUUUUGCUACGGAAUAACGCAGGGAAACUUGUGCUAAUACCGUAUGUGUCCUUCG
rnacentral:rRNA from 1 species